GCCUUCUUAGCUCAGUGGUAGAGCGCGUGGCUUUUAACCACGUGGUUGUGGGUUUGAUUCCCACAGACGGUG
rnacentral:tRNA from 1 species